AACGAACGCUGGCGGCAUGCCUAACACAUGCAAGUCGAACGAGACCUUCGGGUCUAGUGGCGCACGGGUGCGUAACGCGUGGGAACCUGCCCUUAGGUUCGGAAUAACUCCCCGAAAGGGGUGCUAAUACCGGAUAAUGUCUUCGGACCAAAGAUUUAUCGCCUUUGGAUGGGCCCGCGUUGGAUUAGCUAGUUGGUAGGGUAAAAGCCUACCAAGGCGACGAUCCAUAGCUGGUCUGAGAGGAUGAUCAGCCACACUGGGACUGAGACACGGCCCAGACUCCUACGGGAAGCAGCAGUGGGGAAUAGUGGACAAUGGGCGAAAGCAUGAUCCAGCAAUGACGCGUGAGUGAUGAAGGCCUUAGGGUUGUAAAGCUCUUUUAACCGGGAUGAUAAUGACAGUACCGGGAGGAUAAGCUCCGGCUAACUCCGUG
rnacentral:rRNA from 1 species